CGCCUCUUGCAUAAUAAAUAUAAGAGGUCCCGCCUGCCCUGUGACUACAUGUUUAACGGCCGCGGUAUUUUGACCGUGCAAAGGUAGCGCAAUCACUUGUCUUUUAAAUAAAGACCCGUAUGAAUGGCACGACGAGGGCUUAACUGUCUCCUCUCCUUGGUCAAUGAAAUUGAUCUCCCCGUGCAGAAGCGGGGAUAAAUCCAUAAGACGAGAAGACCCUAUGGAGCUUUCAGAUGAUUGGGGGAUUUUGUGUCAAUAAAACCUAGUCAAGACAUAAAACAAGCAUUAUUCCACCAAAUAUCUUUGGUUGGGGCGACCACGGAGUACAGAUAAACCUCCGUGAGGAUUGAGGCAUUUGCCCUUAAAACCUAGAGCACCCGCUCUAAGUAACAAAAAUUUUGACCUUAUAGAUCCGGCUUAAAGCCGAUCAACGGACCGAGUUACCCUAGGGAUAACAGCGCAAUCCUCUUCAAGAGUCCCUAUCGACAAGAGGGUUUACGACCUCGAUGUUGGAUCAGGACAUCCUAAUGGUGUAGCCGCUAUUAAGGGUUCGUUUGUUCAACGAUUAAAGUCCU
rnacentral:rRNA from 1 species